GCCAGGCAUGGUGGCGUGUGCCUGUAGUCCCAGCUACUUGGGAGGCUGAGGCAGAAGAAUCACUUGAACCCAGGGGGUGGAGGUUGCAGUGAGCCGAGAUCGUGCCACUGCACUCCAGCCUGGGUGACAGAGCGAGACUCUGUCUCAA
rnacentral:SRP_RNA from 1 species